rnacentral:misc_RNA from 1 species
GACGAGGGGUCCUAGCGUUGUUCGGAAUUACUGGGCGUAAAGCGCGCGUAGGCGGAUCAGAAAGUUGGGGGUGAAAUCCCGGGGCUCAACCCCGGAACUGCCUCCAAAACUCCUGGUCUUGAGUUCGAGAGAGGUGAGUGGAAUUCCGAGUGUAGAGGUGAAAUUCGUAGAUAUUCGGAGGAACACCAGUGGCGAAGGCGGCUCACUGGCUCGAUACUGACGCUGAGGUGCGAAAGUGUGGGGAGCAAACAGG